CACAGGGCUAGAUGGCUGCGUCGGGGACGGGAGCGGAGGUGAGCAGGCGCUAGGGCCGUGUCCCCCAGCCGGCCCUUCCUCCAGCGCUCUGUGGACCCCGCAGAAGGCGCUCGCCUUCCUAGCCCGCAAACGCGUAAUCUAUUUUUCUCGCUGUGGCAACGGGGACGUCCCGCAAGAUCCUCAGCUCCGAUAGGCAACUUCGGCCUUCCCUGCCCUGACCUGGAACCUCUGGGAGGGCUGCAGAGUAAGUGCCGCCUCUGCGCUCUGACGGAGGCACGAGGCCUGCGGAAUAGGUCCCUCUGUUCCGACAGGUGCGACACUUAGCGCUCCAUGCCUGCGGGCUCCGGGAGGCAUGGCCUCCCCCAGGGCCGCCACCUCUGCUGGUUGCUCUGUGCUUUCACCUUAAAGCUCUGUCAAGCAGAGGCUCCCGUGCAGGAGGGGAAGCUGUCAGCGAGCACCUCAAAUUUGCCAUGCUGGCUGGUGGAAGAGUUUGUGGUAACAGCAGAGUGCUCUCCAUGCUCUAAUUUCCAGGCUAAAACUACCCCUGAGUGUGGUCCCACAGGGUAUGUAGAGAAAAUCACAUGCAGCUCAUCUAAGAAAAUUGAGUUCAAAAGCUGCCGCUGAGCUUUGAUGGAACAACACUUAUUUUGGAAGUUCGAAGGGGCUGUUGUGUUUGUGGCCCUGAUCUUCUCUUGUCUUGUCAUCAUUCGUCAGCGACAACUGGACAGAAAGGCUCUGGAAAAGGUCCGGAAGCAAAUUGAGUCCAUAUAGCUACAUUCCACCCUUUUAUCCUGGGUCUUAGAGACCCAAUCUCAGACAGUGAAAGUGAAAUGGACUGAUUUGCACUCUUGGUUCUUUGGAGGCUUGUGGUGGAAUCCCCCUUUCCCCGUCGUCUUCUUUCAGAUCAUUAAUGAGCAGAAUAAAAAGAGUAAAAUGGUUUCC